rnacentral:rRNA from 1 species
ACGGAGGGUGCAAGCGUUAUCCGGAAUCACUGGGUUUAAAGGGUGCGUAGGCUGUUCAAUAAGUCAGUUGUGAAAUUCCCCGGCUUAACCGGCGGGACUGCGAUUGAUACUGUUGGACUUGAAUCAGGUUGAGGUAGGCGGAAUGUGGCAUGUAGCGGUGAAAUGCAUAGAUAUGCCAUAGAACACCGAUUGCGAAGGCAGCUUGCUGGACCUUGAUUGACGCUGAGGCACGAAAGCGUGGGGAGCAAACAGG